rnacentral:lncRNA from 1 species
UUUUACAUUCACAUAAACAGUGUCCAGCAUACAAACAAAGUAUGUGCAUGGGCUAGGCCCAUUAUACCCAAGGUCAAGGUCACUAAGUUGUUGUACUUCAUUUAUAGACAGAUCCUUGAUACUUAAAAAAAGAUAAUUACUUGAAAUUUAAAAUAUUUCAUUAUAAUCAGCAUCUGCAUAAAUUAUGUGGUUACAAUCCCCAUAACUCUAAUUGUAAUUUUGACAGAAUUAUGCCCCUUUCAUACUUAAGGUUUUGGCUUGAAACUUGAAAUGUAUCUAUAUAUAAUAAUUCAGCAGUCAACUGUGGAAAAUGUUUGGCUCAGAAGGAAGUGUGGUUCUGGGAAGAAUGUGUUACAUAUCCCAAUGGUAGAUAGUGCAAAGAUUACUGGUUUUACAAAUGCUGAAGUUGAGGGCAGUGUGUUGAGAUGAAACUAGAUGAUUCUAAGGAAGUUGGUCUUCGAAAGGCUUUCAAAUAAGACUAGCAGCUGCUACCAAAGGCAAAGACAGAGAUGCUCAAUUUACAGCCAUACAGUAGAGGUGAACAGUCAUUGAAAAAUUGCUGAUUUGUACCAACCAGCUCCACACAGAAGAUUGAUUGAGCAGUAAGAAGGCCAUGUACAGAGAAAGCAGAGAUUCUGUUAUGUGUGUUGUCUUUGAUCCUGAUGGUACCACAGAACGCUGUCAACAAGGAUGUAAUAUUCCUGACAUCUGAGUGUAACAAGAGCCUUAGUGCCUUUGAAAAUGAUAAUGGUUGUAUACAUAAUGCAAGAUAAUUGUCAAGAAAUCAGUUAUACAGGGAAAAUCGUCUGACACCAUGAGACUUGGAAAACAGGAGCAGAAAUGUAUACAUCUAUCCUGUCUACACGAAUAAUGACUGUAGUUACAAGGCGUCACUAAUCUUACCAGGACUUGUCAUAUUAAGAGAACUGUCUUUAGAUGAAGAAAUAGAUGCUGCUGAAAGAAAAACGCCAACUAGAAAGACAUAACUCCAAAACCAAUUCCAUGUGUAGUAGUUAAUCCAGAAUAUGUUAGGCUCGGAUUCUGUUUCCUGCAUAACCCAUUGUCAUUUACAAUGUCUGAAUCAGUCAGUGUCAGAAGUAGUUAGUCCCUCACCCAUGUAUGUGUGUAUUCAUGUGUUUUUGGCUUGGAGGGCCGUAAUAUAGAAACUUUAAAUUUCAAGAUACUCCAAGUACAAUUUCUACUUUAAAUUAAAAAAACAUUUUGGUAGGGUAAUUCCGAUUGCAGACAUUAUCAAUAUCAGCCAUUUUAGGCCACAAAAUUUCCAAAAAUUAAAAUCUUGACUUUGUUUACCAUCAUUAUCAUCCAUCAGAGGUUGGUCAAAAUUCCGAGACGAACUAUGGAACCAUGGUAGACCUCUGGUAUGCGAGAGAAUCCUCCUGUGAAACGUUCAGAACCUCUUUAAAUAGCAUGAAAUAAGGAAACAGAUGUAAAAAUAAGUAAAAUUUCUCAAUUUUCUUUUCGCAAUUUCCAUAUUAUAUGCAGGAAAAUUUUAAAUGCCAAUUUGAUGAAAUCGAUUUACCCACCAAAACACCUUUUUGGCACAGAUUUAUAAAUGAUAGAUACAGUGUUUUAGGGAAUAGCGGAUUUUUAGUAGAGAUGAUAGAUUGAUCAAAUUUGCUUUUAUACAUAAAUUAUUGUAUAAAUUUCUAUCUCACUCUUCUUUUACUGGCUUGCAGACAGAUAAUCUGUCAUGUGCUUAAAAUGUUUGUAUGUUGUGUUAUUUUUCACAUGUCAUCCAUCAUACGAAAAUCAAAGCUGUUCUCUGCUGACUAAAUGUAAAAAAUGUCAAAAUAUCAGUGAACGAAAUAUGUUUGAUAGAAAUUUUAAACGCUGAAUAUCUUAAAAGAGUAUAUAUUAUCAUUCUGAUUUAUAGAAAAGAAAUCUAGGUUGGUGUAGUUAGAUGUGUUUUUAUAAUUGAUGACUGAAAAAUGGCCAAAGCUAUCUUCUACACAUUAAAUCAGUACAGCUGAAUGUUUUGAAAAGAAUACUGCAUUUUCCUUGUGUUAUACAGAAAAAAACUCUUAUUUAUAUGCUUCAUAUAUAGUUGCUUCUUCGUCAGUCUUUCUGUCCGUCCUGCAAUUCUUGUCCGGAGUAUUUGGCAGCAACCAGUGGUUAAAAUUUAGCGAAACUUUAUAGAAAGCUUAACUAUCAAGAGGAGAUUUGUAUUCUGGGCUGAUGAUUUUUACAGAGUUAUUGCCCUUUGAUUAUUCAACACUAGUACAGUAAAGACUGUCUACAGUGACCAAUCUUCGGAAGAUUUCAAAAAGGUCACUAGAGACGAGAAUCCACUAUAUACAAUCUAGCUGCUCGGGUGGAGAAGUCUAAUAGCACAAUAUUGUUCCUGUUUUUACAUACAUGUAUACUGAUCCGUAGUCAGAAAGGUAGGUUGGGCUAUGCAUA